rnacentral:rRNA from 1 species
UACGGGGGGGGCAAGCGUUGUUCGGAAUUACUGGGCGUAAAGGGUUCGUAGGUGGCUUGCUCAGUCAGACGUGAAAUCCCUCAGCUUAACUGGGGAACUGCGUCUGAUACUGGCGAGCUUGAGUGCAGGAGAGGAACGCGGAAUUCCAGGUGUAGCGGUGAAAUGCGUAGAUAUCUGGAGGAACACCGGUGGCGAAGGCGGCGACCUGGGUAGAUACUGACGCUGAGGUGCGAAAGCGUGGGGAGCAAACAGG